AUUGAACGCUGGCGGCAGGCCUAACACAUGCAAGUCGAACGAGUGGCGGAAGGGUGAGUAAUGUCUGGGAAACUGCCCGAUGGAGGGGGAUAAAUACUGGAAACGGUAGAUAAUACCGCAUACCAUCUGAUGUGCCUGGAUGGGAGUAGCUAGUAGGUGGGGUAACGGCUCACCUAGGCGACGAUCCCUAGCUGGUCUGAGAGGAUGAACGGCCACACUGGAACUGAGACACGGUCCAGAAUCCUACGGAAGGCAGAAGGGGGGAAUAUUGCACAUUGGGCGCAAGCCUGAUGCAGACAUGCGGCGUGUAUGAAGAAGGCCUUCGGGUUGUAAAGGACUUUCAGCGAGGAGGCGUUACUCGCAGAAGAAGCACCGGCAAACUCCGUGCCAGCAGCCGCGGUAAAUC
rnacentral:rRNA from 1 species